rnacentral:rRNA from 1 species
UACGUAGGGGGCUAGCGUUGUCCGGAUUUAUUGGGCGUAAAGAGCGUGUAGGCGGCCAUGUAGGUCCGGUGUGAAAACUCGAGGCUUAACCUCGAGAUGUCGGCGGAAACCAUCUGGCUAGAGUCCGGAAGAGGAGAGUGGAAUUCCUGGUGUAGCGGUGAAAUGCGCAGAUAUCAGGAAGAACACCUAUGGCGAAGGCAGCUCUCUGGGACGGUACUGACGCUGAGACGCGAAAGCGUGGGGAGCGAACAGG